UACGUAGGGGGCAAGCGUUGUCCGGAAUUAUUGGGCGUAAAGAGCGUGUAGGCGGUCCGGUAAGUCAGCUGUGAAAGUCAAGGGCUCAACCCUUGAAUGCCGGUUGAUACUGUCGGGCUAGAGUCCGGAAGAGGCGAGUGGAAUUCCCGGUGUAGCGGUGAAAUGCGCAGAUAUCGGGAGGAACACCAAAGGCGAAAGCACUCUGCUGGGCCACAACUGACACUGAGAGACGAAAGCGAGGGGAGCAAAAGGG
rnacentral:rRNA from 1 species